rnacentral:lncRNA from 1 species
AUUAAGAGCAACGAUGCUGACCACAUACUCUGUGCCUGGAGUGAGGUUGGUGAGGGUGAUGGAAUUCCGAGAGUGGGGCACCCGAUCUUCUCGAGGUCUCCCACUGAAGUGCUCGGGAUGAUGGCGGAUCCUGUAGCCAGUGAUGGUGGCUCGAGGAGCAAUCCAGUGCACAGUAAAAGAGUUGGCAGUAAUAUCAGAAAAGUCAAUGCCAGUUGGGGAAUCAAGACCUGUUUUUCCCACCCGGGGGAGGAAGAGAAAAAAAAAAGAAAAGACACCACCAGUUUAGGAAGUGAGGAAGGUGUAGGGGAAAUUAACGUACAUCCAACAUUUCGUUCCUGUCUCAUCAAUACCAUGAUUUGCCAUAAACCAAAGAGUAAGAUGUACUGAUUCUAAGCUACAUAUGAAUUUUAAAAUCUUAAAUUGACUCAAUUCAAAAUAGCCAGCUCAAGCAUUCAUUUUUUUCUUGUGCUAAGUAAUUCAAGCAGAUUUUAGGGGUUAUUACAGUAAGUUUCUGUGUCACAUUUGGAGAUAAGUGUUCAAGAUCUUCUGAGAAUUGACAUUUUCAAAUUCUUCAGUGUUCAAGUAUUCUGUGUUUCUAUCCUGUAAGUGUAUCCUUCCAAGUAAAGCAAGAUCUGCCCACUCUCAAAGUAAAUGUUUGACUCUCAGAGAAGCCUCCUAAGCUCAAGAGGAAAUUUAUAUGUCAACAGAGUGGUAAUGAUGCCAAACACAAAACUUUCUGAAACUAAAGACAUUAUCCCAGACAAAUUACAAUGCUGAUAAUUCCUCGUGAAUUGACAGUUUUGAAAAAUGCAUUUUUCAAAAAUGCACAAAAAUU